UACGAAGGGGGCUAGCGUUGUUCGGAAUUACUGGGCGUAAAGCGCGCGUAGGCGGUGAUCUUUGUCAGAGGUGAAAGCCCGGGGCUCAACUCCGGAAUUGCCUUUGAAACGGGAUCGCUAGAGUCCGAGAGAGGAUGGCGGAAUUCCUAGUGUAGAGGUGAAAUUCGUAGAUAUUAGGAAGAACACCGGUGGCGAAGGCGGCCAUCUGGCUCGGUACUGACGCUCAGGCGCGAAAGCGUGGGAGCAA
rnacentral:rRNA from 1 species